rnacentral:lncRNA from 1 species
UGACCAUGCAGCUGCUAACACUUUCCUAUGAUUUGCAUCUUCACAUUUCUAGGACCUUGCUGUCUAUUAGAUUUAUUUUCCUUCUUGCUCCAAGCUGUGAUGAUUGAUUCAUAAAGCACAGAGCUGUACUUCGCAAGGCAUUCUAAGAAGAAAAUCUGAACUGUUUGGGAGAAGAAUUACACACCUUUGUGACUUAGUUUAUGAAGGAAGACAAUAGGUCUGGUGACCUUAUGAAGGGAGAACCUUCUCCUGUGAGGAAAAGGACUACAUCAUUCAGAAUAUUUCUCAAGAAUGAUUUUCAGCUUGAGAGGAGGAAUGAGCAAACGUGCACAGUCACAGCAUCAAGUGCCAGGAAAACGUGCGUUGUACCACCACUGGAGCCCAUACAGAAGUAAAACAGAAGACAAUGACUGUCACAAGGAUCAUAAAAUCUGAAUAUCAUACAUAAAGGAUUUGCCUGCAUGGCUUUGUACUGCUUUAAUUAUGUUAUAUACAGAGCUGUAGUGUGUGGACCAGCCAAAACACAUUAAAUAUAUAGUUUCUAUUAAGCUUUGCAGCAUAAACAAACCACAUAGCACAGCAAACUGUCUGCCAAAAAAUGUAAUGUGGCUGAUAAAGUCUUGAGGGACAUAUAAAAUGAUAGCUUUUGAAAAAAUUAUAUAUUUUUCUAAUGUCAAUGAUGAUGAGAUUGAAAGAAAAAAAAAAAGAAAAAAGGAUUGAUAAGCCAUAUAGACAUAUAGAUGCCUU